ensembl:lncRNA
GGUUAACACCAGUGGUAUAUCUGAGUGUUGAUUAAGAUGGCUUUAUAUAUAGUUAUAAAUCCGCGAAAGGCUUUGCUAUACUAUUUUACCAUAUAUACCACCAUCCAAAGUGGAGAGCUCCAUGAUUGAAGCUCUGUAGGUUACAGUGGAGUAGACCCUAGUGGGAGGGGGAAUAGGUUACAGUGGAGUAGACCCUAGUGGGAGGGGGAAUAGGUUAUAGUGGAGUAGACCCUAGUGGGAGGGGGAAUAGGUUAUAGUGGAGUAGACCCUAGUGGAAGGGGGAAUAGGUUACAGUGGAGUAGACCCUAGUGGGAGGGGGAAUAGGUUAUAGUGGAGUAGACCCUAGUGGGAGGGGGAAUAGGUUACAGUGGAGUAGACCCUAGUGGGAGGGGGAAUAGGUUAUAGUGGAGUAGACCCUAGUGGGAGGGGGAAUAGGUUAUAGUGGAGUAGACCCUAGUGGAAGGGGGAAUAGGUUACAGUGGAG